GACGAACGCUGGCGGCGUGCUUAACACAUGCAAGUCGAACGGAAAGUGCUCUUCGGAGUGACUCGAGUGGCGAACGGGUGAGUAACACGUGGGUGAUCUGCCCUGCACUUUGGGAUAAGCCUGGGAAACUGGGUCUACUACCGAAUAGGACUCCGGAUCGCAUGGUCUGGGGUGGAAAGCUUUUGCGGUGUGGGAUGGGCCCGCGGCCUAUCAGCUUGUUGGUGGGGUGAUGGCCUACCAAGGCGACGACGGGUAGCCGGCCUGGGAGGGUGUCCGGCCACACUGGGAAUGAGCUACGGCCAUGACUCCUUCGGGGGGAAGCGGUGGGGACUAUUGAACAAUGGGCGCAAGCCUGAUGCAGCGACGCCGGGGACGGGAUGACGGCCUUCGGGUUGUAAACCUCUUUCACCAGGGACGAAGCGUAAGCGACGGUACCUGGAGAAGAAGCCCCGGCCAACUACGUGCCAGCCGCCCGCCGUAA
rnacentral:rRNA from 1 species